rnacentral:rRNA from 1 species
AUGACGCGCGUCGCCGUGGCGCGCUUGGCCGCCAAAGCCGAGCCGCAUCUCCUCCACGCGGGGCCGCCAACGCCGAGCCGCAGCGCCGCCCGCAUCUCCUCCACCUCCGCCGCCAUGCUCUGCGUGCUCAGCAGCACCCCCAUGGCGCGGCCGCGAAUGCCUCUCCUCUUGCUUUGCUCCGUGUCACCUUGGCUUGGCGGCGCUGCCGACGACCACUUGCUGGCCGGGGAGGGUGCUGCCGGCGAAGACAAGAAGCUCGAGAAGCUGCAGCAGGAGUUCGACGAGCUGCGCACGGAGCUGGCCGAGUUGAAGAAGCGGACCAAGCGCACGGACAAGGCCAUGGCGAAAGAGCGCUCUGCGGGGGACCAGAUAGCGGCUUGGUUCAACCCCAAGGCGCGCGACAUGGGAGACGAGGACAUGGCGGCCUUCUUCGCCGCGCUGAUGCAGAUGAAGGACGCCGUCUCCGAUGGCGCCAACCAGGUUCUUCUCGAGGCGAUGCACGCCCACAUGAGCCGCAUGGCGGAGGUGGCCCCGCCGCCGCCGCCGCCCCAGAUCUUCGGUGGUAACACCUUCGAGUUCGGUAGCAGCAGCGGCACCGCCAACGACGGGAUGGAGUUCCAGUUUCUGGGGCCUCCACCACAGGAGCAGGGGUUCGAGGCCCGGAUGGAUAUGCAGCAGAUGGUGAUGGCGCCGCUGCCUCCGUCUCACGUGGUCGCCGCCGGGAUGGAUGUGCAGGACAUGCCUCCGCCGCCGGGGUUGGCCGCCGGGAUGGAUCUGGAGCAGAUGCAGAUGACGAUGCCUAAGCCGCCGGGGUUCGACGCAGGGCUAGACAAGGAGAUAGAUCAAUGGCUUGAUGUGAUGCUGCCGCGUCCGGAGUUCACUGCCGGGAUGGAGACGGUGCAGCAGGGGCUCCAUCAACCCAACGCCGGCUUCCCGUACUGA